UUGAACGCUGGCGGCAUGCCUUACACAUGCAAGUCGCACGGCAGCGCGGACUUCGGUCUGGCGGCGAGUGGCGAACGGGUGAGUAAUACAUCGGAACGUACCCUGUUGUGGGGGAUAACUAGUCGAAAGAUUAGCUAAUACCGCAUACGACCUGAGGGUGAAAGUGGGGGACCGGAAACGGCCUCAUGCAGCAGGAGCGGCCGAUGUCUGAUUAGCUAGUUGGUGGGGUAAAGGCCCACCAAGGCGACGAUCAGUAGCUGGUCUGAGAGGACGAUCAGCCACACUGGGACUGAGACACGGCCCAGACUCCUACGGGAGGCAGCAGUGGGGAAUUUUGGACAAUGGGGGCAACCCUGAUCCAGCAAUGCCGCGUGUGUGAAGAAGGCCUUCGGGUUGUAAAGCACUUUUGUCCGGAAAGAAAUCGCGCUGGUUAAUACCUGGCGUGGAUGACGGUACCGGAAGAAUAAGCACCGGCUAACUACGUG
rnacentral:rRNA from 1 species